GUUAAGGUGACAUUUGGCAUGCUUUUUUUUCCAGAACUGAGGCAAAUCUUUUUCGCUGUCCAUACCUUUCUUGGUUACCAUUUCUUUACAUAGUGUGUACAUCUGGAACCUGUCAUGAAUUGUCCAUAAAAAUAACACUUGGUAUAUGAUUGUCCUGCAGGACCAAGCCAGCUCAGACGUCGUUGUCUGAGGAUUGUAAAGAUAUUUGGAAGACCAAUUUUAUCAAGUAACUUUAUAAAUGUUAUAAUAUCAUUAGCUCUUGGAAAUCCUAUGCCGAACUGGGAGUCGAACACUUAGUGAGGUUGUGACUGAACGUCGCAUGAGGUUUGCGGGACAUGUUCUACGUCAAAAUGAAUUACGCACACCAAGAGUUGCGAUAACAUGGAAGCCAAAACAAGGAAAGCGCAAACAGGGACGUCCUCGUAUUACCUGGCGACACGCCUUCAUGGAGGACCUCAGAACAGUGGACACCAGGUGGGAGGAGGCUUCAGACAUUACCAGUGACAGAUCAUUAUGGAGACAGCUUGCCGCCCAAUGCGCCGAACGGCGCCGGAGGACCUAUGUCUAAGACUGUGUCUCAGCGAAGCAUAAGAGUUGGUCUUGGAUUCAAACAGUCAAUGAAUGUUUAGGCAUUCAUAAUGAAAAUACUGCUAACUAUCAUCAGUUCUACCAUGAUGUUUGCCACCUGGAAGAAGACAUGCUUUCAUUCUUGCUUUGGAUGGACAGUUCAACAGUUAGAGCUCAAGUCAAGACUCAAGAUCCUGAUGUCAUGUUAAAAUAUUUCAGAUUAAUAAACAAUUGUUGGACUAUCAGGGCUAGUUAGAUCUUCUCACAGAGCGAAGUUGAGAUAUUCACCCAGUUCAUCACCGCCAAGAACUGCCAGAAUGGCAUUUGAAGGCUAGAGCUCUUGUCCAAUAUCAGCACAAACAUGUGUCAUUAGCAAAAGGGGACUUUGUCAAGAUUUUGGAAAAUUCUGAUGCUGAAAGAUGGAAGAUGGAAUAGAAAGUGAAGUCCCUGCUAUUGUGUUGGUCAUUCCUUCCUGCUUCCAACAGAUUGAUAAAUUAGGAGAACAAAUCAAGGUCAAUAGUUCUAUUGCUGCUGAUAAAUGGUCACAUUUAAUCCAGUUUUUAAGUGCUGCUAUUUCCCAGACACAGUCCAAAGAUUUAUGUUUUUCCUGCUGAAGAUGGUGAAUGAGGCAGCAGACAUCUUGAAAGGAGCUGAUUUCAAGUUCCUUCAACACUCUUUUCAUUUUAUUUAGGAAGAAGCUCAUCAGUCACUUCAAACCAGGUGAUGAUGGAGUCAUAAACAGUAGGAUACAGAGGUGAAACAAAACUGGAGCUUUAGUUUGUUUGUUUGUAGAACUUGGCAUCUACUCCAGACAUUAUUCUGAAGAACACUCAAGUAAAAGAAAAGAAGAAAUGUUAAAGGUUAAGGACUUGGGCUCCAAUCAUACUUACACUUCAAAAGCUUUAAUUUGAAAGGUCUUAUAUUUUUGUGGAAAUAAAUUUUACUAGUGGAGUUUUUGUAGCUGCCAGAGUGGAUCAAGGUGGAUGUGAUAUCUAUUUAUAAACAUGUAUACCAGUAUAUUGUAAUCAGUGAUUUUCAUUUUUUGGUAACAGUUUGUUUCCAUUUAGAUUGCAGUCUUUCUUAUGUGAAAACAAGAUGUCUGCAUAAUCUUAGAGGACAUUUUUAAACUCAUUUAAAUUUAUUAGAUGAAAUAUUUAUAAAACAUACAAUGUAAAUUGUUUUGUAAAAUGAUUAUACAUUUGAGUUCAUAAAAAUGUGUAAUUUUUUAAUGGCAUCAUGUUUCUGCUUAUCUGUAUCUGAUACUGAUGAUGUGUUUUCUAAAUCUAUUACUGCUUCACCAUUGAGGAAAAACUGCACAUGUUUAAACCCAUAUCUGAAGUAACUUUCCAGAAAAAAAAAAGAUGUAUGUUGGACAGUGUCCAAAAUUUCAAAUCAUUUCCUUCAAAAUGUUAUCUAUUUCCUCCAUAACUUCAUAACAUUAUUGAAUUUUUUCCUUCAGAACACAAUUGUAAAUUAUCUUUUUUUUUUUUUUUUUUUUUUUUUUUUUAAACCACAAUGAGAGUCUAAUAACUAAUAGUCUAGCAAACAAUUACUUAUAAUUUGCCUUAUUAUUAUACAAUAUUAAGAUUUACUUCUGCAGGGAUGAAAAACUUUUUUUAAAAUACAAUAGACAUGUAUAAUAAUAAAGUACAUUCACACCUGACUCACUCAUAAUUUACAUGUGAAAAGUUUAUAUCAGAUUGUUUCUAUUUAAUGAUUUGAUUGCCAUCAGUGUCUUGUAUCUCUUUUGUGAUGGUAAAGUCACAAAAUGUAGGAAACCCCACUGUGUUUGGUCCAGUAUGUGGGUUAUUAUAUGUAAGUCUAUUGUAUUUUCUAUAUUAUUUUACAAAUGUAAAAAAAAUAAAAAGAAAUUGUUACACUGUU